UACAGAGGGGGCAAGCGUUGUUCGGAAUUACUGGGCGUAAAGGGCGCGUAGGCGGCCUUCUAAGUCGAACGUGAAAUCCCCGGGCUCAACCCGGGAACUGCGUCCGAUACUGGAAGGCUUGAAUCCGGGAGAGGGAUGCGGAAUUCCAGGUGUAGCGGUGAAAUGCGUAGAUAUCUGGAGGAACACCGGUGGCGAAGGCGGCAUCCUGGACCAACACUGACGCUGAGUGAGCGAAAAGCCAGGGGAGCAAACGGG
rnacentral:rRNA from 1 species